CUUUUCCUUCACCCCGAACCUCACGCUCCAAACCUUAUCCCCUUUCUCCAGAUCCACAACACACACCGCCGCCCUAGGUGCCCUCUCCGGCCGGCCGCGGCGCUACGUGUCCAGCGAGGCUGCCACCACUCUAUUCCCCUCUUCCUCCCACCCCUCCAUCGUUAUCCCCACAUGCCCGCCAUUUUCCCACGCCUAGGUGGGCUUGUGUCGGCGCUGCCAUCACACAGGUGCCAACGGCGGUGCUUUUUGUUCUUACGCAAGCGCCCGGUGAUGCCACCUCUCACCUCUCUCUCAUGGCUCCACCGCCCCAACCCAGACCAGCUAGAUCUAUGUGGGACAACGUCCCUUCACUCCCAGUGGUCAGGUCCAAGGCACCCAUCCCCUGCUUCCUCUGCUUCGGGUGAUUAGGAGCUUGGUGGUAGGUGCCCCAGUCUCUCCCCACUUUAGGAUAACAGGAGCUAGCCAUACAUGGCAGAAACAACAUCGUAAGUUCUGUGUGUGUGUGUGUGUGUUUAGAUUCCAACUCCCACCGGUGGACCAGCUUUUUUUACUUGGUUGUAAGUUUAAUCUCUUUUCAAAACAAAUUUGUGCUGCUUUUGUUCAUGGAAGAAGAAGUCCUUGAAGCAGUAGAAUUCAAACCCUAACAUUCUAUCACUAUCAUUGUUUGCAUUCUAGGGUUGUUAGCAGAUUGAGUUUGAAAAUUAUUUUUUGCAGGGGAAAUGAAUCUUUAGUAUGUUUGGGCAAAAAGGCCACCGGAAGAUGUCCAUAAGUCAUAUGCAUGCAUCACAUCGACUUGGUGCUUCUACUAUUUACUCUCUGAAGAACCUCUAUCACAAGAAUUCUUCUAUGGGGCGUCUGAACAAAAGGGGCAUCUUCGUCAUCCCGUCACUAAGGUAGUGGAGCAAGAUUUCUUAUAUCUGGGUGAGGGCAUCAAUCAAUCUUGGGACAAGGAAUCUCAUCACUGCAAUAUAUAGCUACCACAUUGGACCAGGCGCGUUUAUCUUGAGCGUAGCUAGAUGGAAAAACAUCUUUCUUGAGCUGGCAUGUGAAGGAAGGAAACAAAAGGAUGACACUCACACGGAACCAUGAAGCCAACAAUCUACGUCAACUAGAUGUUUUAGAUUUCAUUUUGUACAACUGAUGUCUCAUCCUUGCAUCUUUUACCUGUCCUUUUGUGAACCUGAUGUAUGGUGUCUCGGUGGUUGUGUUUAGAACAGACUGAAGUGUAUGUAUGUGACAAAUGGUUAAUGGAAUAAAAAAAUGUUUGGUGCACCUGA